rnacentral:rRNA from 1 species
UACGUAGGUGGCAAGCGUUGUCCGGAUUUACUGGGUGUAAAGGGCGUGCAGCCGGGAAGACAAGUCAGAUGUGAAAUCCCGCGGCUCAACCGCGGAACUGCAUUUGAAACUGUUUUUCUUGAGUAUCGGAGAGGUAAUCGGAAUUCCUAGUGUAGCGGUGAAAUGCGUAGAUAUUAGGAAGAACACCAGUGGCGAAGGCGACUUACUGGACUGUAACUGACGCUGAGGCAUGAGAGCAUGGGGAGCAAACAGG